GCCUUCGUGGUGUAGCGGUGAGCACACUUGACGCGUAUUUCAGAGGUCCUUGGUUCGAGUCCCGGCGAGGGCA
rnacentral:tRNA from 1 species